rnacentral:lncRNA from 1 species
UUUGAUUUUUUUUGAAUGUUUUUGAAUUUUUGCAAUAAACUAAACUAAACGCGAGGGAUUGAAGCGACGUUGGAUCGCAAGCACGGCAUAAAGCGUAAUAAAUAAAAUGCAUGCAAUGCAAUUACAUUAUAAAUCCUAAUUACAUUCUAAACUUCAACAAAUAAAUAUGAAUGAAUGCAACCAUACAUAUGCAAUGCAAAUUUUAUUUAUAAUUACAAAUUUCC